CCUUGGGCUUACGCCCAAGGCUACGUGCUGCCGCCCUCCAGGCU
rfam:Fuerstia marisgermanicae strain NH11 chromosome, complete genome.